UGCUCAGAACUGGACCCAGGACUCCAGCUGAGGCCUCACCAGAGCCGAGUAGAGCCGGACAAUCACUUUCCGUGUCUUACAUCUGACACAUGCGUUGCUGCAGCUCAGACUGAUACUAACCUUUUUCACAGCUGCAUCACAUUGCUGACUCAUGUUCAGUUUGCACUUCUCUGUAAGCCCUAGAUCCUUUUCAGCAGGACGACGGCCCAGCCAGUUAUUCCCCACUUUGUAGUUGGUCUCGCUCGCUUGAGAAGAGAGUCAGUGUUCCCUUGGUGUUGGACAGCUGAGAAAUGACUCGUCCUUCCUGGUAUUGCCGAUGUCCGGUGAAGUGUUCUAUGUAGAUGUCCCUUGACCACCUGAUGGCGUCCGACACCAUGAAUUGCCGCAUCAGCCAAGUGUAGCGCUGACCCCUUCUGGGUUCAUUGAAUACUAGCUUGUUACUGGGGUC